rnacentral:rRNA from 1 species
CUAUCAGAUGAGCCGAUGUCGGAUUAGCUGGUUGGUGAGGUAAUGGCUCACCAAGGCUGCGAUCCGUAGCUGGUCUGAGAGGAUGAUCAGCCACAUCGGGACUGAGACACGGCCCGAACUCCUACGGGAGGCAGCAGUGGGGAAUUUUGGACAAUGGGGGAAACCCUGAUCCAGCCAUGCCGCGUGUGUGAAGAAGGCCCUCGGGUUGUAAACUGCUUUCGUAGAGAAAGAACACCCGGUGGUUAAUAUCCGCCGGGCAUGACAUCACUCAAAGAAUAAGCACCGGCUAACUCCGUGCCAGCAGCCGCGGUAAUACGGAGGGUGCAAGCGUUAAUUGGAAUUACUGGGCGUAAAGCGCGCGUAGGUGGCUUGAUAAGACGGUGGUGAAAUCCCCGGGCUCAACCUGGGAACUGCCUCUGGAACUGCCAGGCUAGAGUGCGGGAGAGGAAAGUGGAAUUCCCCGUGUAGCGGUGAAAUGCGUAGAUAUGGGGAGGAAUACCGAUGGCGAAGGCAGUCUUCUGGACCUGCACUGACACUCAUGCGCGAAAGCGUGGGU